UAGAGCUGGGUUUCAUCAUGUUGGCCAGGCUGGUCUCGAACUCCUGACCUCAAGUGAUCCUCCCACCUCAGACUCCCAAAAUGCUGGGAUUACAGGCAUGAGUUACUGCGCCCAGUCUGUUUACCAUCUGUUUUUAAAAUGCAAUUCACUCUUGAUCAUUAGAACUUUUAUGUCAUUCAUUGACCUCCUUAAGCUUAUAUAUUGUCAGUUAUCAGUUUAUUUGCCUUUUAGCUCAGAACACAUUCUUCAAUAUAUAGUCUCUCUUAAUGAAAAACAAAAAACGUUCACACACUCUUCACAAGAGUGCUUGCUUACCCAAGGAUCACUAUGGAUGGGCAUGAAGGUAAUUUUAUCUGUAACUGGGUAUUCAUUAUAUUGUUAUUUCCUGUUUUAAAAAAUAAUUUGUAAUUUACUGAUUCAAGUUACCAAUAAAUGAAUGUUCAUGGACUGACUUGUUUUGUAAUCCUGAGUCUAAAAUCAUCUCUUAGUCCAUUCUGAGCUAUUACAGAAGAUCUGAAACUGGGUAAUUUAUCAAGAAUAGAAAUUGAUUUCUCACAGUUCUGGAGGCUGGGAGGUUCAAGAUAAAAACACCAGCAGGUUUGGUGUCAGCUGAGGGCCCUAUCUAUCUCCACCUCCAAGAUGUCACCUUGAAUGCAACAUCCUCCAAAGCAACACUGUAAUCUCACAUGGCAGAAGAGAUCAAGCUAAUCUACUUUUGUAAGCCUUUUAUAGGGACAAUAAUCCAUUCAUGAGGGUGAAACCCUAAUGACCUAAAAUUCUUCCAUAAGACCCCAUUUCCCAACUCCGUUGUAUUGGGGAUUAAACAGAAUUUUGGAGGAGACACAAACAUCCAAACCAUAGCAGUGAUCAAGGCAGAAGGACAGUAUUGCUUUCUCUUUUGUGCAUUAGUGAAUCACAAUAACUUGAAAGAGGCUCAAAGAUCUACUGAGAGUUUAAAGCCUAGUAGUUUGUAGGAAAGUUCUAAAGAGAUUUUUCAAAAUAUGUCAGUUAUGUAAGGGAAAAGGGGAGAUACUGGUCAGAGGGUACAAACUUUCAAUUAUAAAAUGAAUAAAUUCUGGAGAUCUAAUUUAUAGUAUGGUGACUAUUGUUGUUAAUGUAUAUUUGACAUUUGCUGAGAGCAGAUAUCAGGUGUUCUCACCACACCAAAAAAUGGUAACUAUGUAAGGUGAUUGAUAUUUUAAUUAGCUUGAGUGUUGUAACCAUUUCACAGUAUAUACAUGUAUCAAAACAUCACAUUGUGUACCUUAAAUAGAUGCAAGUUUUGCCAGUCACACCUCAAUAAAGCUGCAAAAAAUGACACUGUAAUUGGCUCUACCAUAUUUCAGUUUAAAGCACUAUUGUCAUUAGAUUAAUAUUUAUUUAAUAUAGACAUUAUAUCCAACAAUCUCAGCUAUUUGAAGUGUAGCCAAGGAUCCAGAAAUAAGUAUAAAAGACUCGUAAAGCUGGAUUCAUCCCUGACUAAUGGGUAAAGGUGUCACAUUCAGAAGAGCCAUCUCCACUUCCUUCUAGCUCACUUUGUCUUCUUUUCAGUGUAAUUCUAAUAAAUCUGUUCAUCAGGUUUCUCAGUCUACAGUGGAUUAGAAAGGGAAGGGAAGGAGUGACUGUGACAGGCAUGGAAGCUUACACAUGUGAAAGCAAGAACAGAACCAGUCUUAGGCCAUUUUGGAGCAGUCUGAAACAGACUGCAACACCCCUAUAACAAGACUGAAAUACAGGGCAAUGGUUAAGUAUUUGUAAUGAACUUGAAUCAAUAUAAAAAUAUUACACUGUGUUCAGAAUAUUGGCAUAAGUUAAUGGAGCAUUUAAUAUAUUUUGGAAAUACUUCUACUGAAGAUGGCUCUAACAGUAUGUAUUUAAAAGAAUAGUCUUUUAGCUAAAAAAAA